AUUUACGAUAGAGUGAUUUUUAGCAUUAGCGAUCUGAGUGAAAGUUGUAGAAUAUGUUAAACCGAGAACAUCCAUAAAAAGAACGCCCAAAUCUGACUUCGUAUGAGGAAGUUAUGAUUUUUCGAAGUUUCGGCUUAUCAAUAUACACGCCGAAAUUCGAAUAUUAGAUCAAGCGGUUUUUAGCCAACACAACCUAAAUGAGAAUCAAAGAUCUCAUUAAUAGUAGCGUAACGAUAAAAAGAUAGACAAAAACAGACGUCGGAUGAAGAUGUUAUGAAUUUUUAACGGACCAAUCGUGUCCCGGUCUAUUAAUAAUAUAACUUUUAACAUAAAGUCAAAAUUAGUCGAUGGAGUCUAAACGAAAGUUAUAGAGUACGUUCCCACCUUCGGGUGGAUACAAAGAACGUCAAAACAGAGCUCGUAUGCGAAAGAUAUGAUUUUUAGAAGUCGGAGUGUAAAAUUGCGAAAUCUGCGAGAAGUUGAUGACAUGGCUGCUUUUGAGCCGUUGCUUGGUGACCAAGGCUUCGCAUCGGGUCACGCCACGUAGCCUCACAUUACGCACCGAGUACGAGAUCCGGUACGCACCGCAUACCUUCGGCCUUAUCCUUCCGACGAGUGUGAGACAGCUGGAUCCGAGGUGGAAACCCUAUCCGAAGUUACCCCCCGCUUAGCCAAGGAUUACGCCCAGCGUAGUCCGAGGCCUCGUAGGCUAUAAAAAGGGGGGGGGGGCGAGUGUUCCGACUUUUUCACACAUUUCUCACUUCUCUCUCUAGUUUCUUUCUCUCUCUAGCUCCCCUAAACCCUAAAUAAAACCCCUAGCACCCAAAGGAAGCCCCGAGGCUCCCGGAGUCCCGAGGAAAAGGGUCUUUCGGUUUCGAAACGCUGCUCCGAGCAAAGCCCAGUUUUCUUUAAAAUCCGCUGUAAGUGAGCUACGCUUAUGCAAUUUUUAAUAUAGCUUUCAAAUAAUUAUAGUAAUGUUAUUAGGUCCUUAAAAUAAUUAUUUGGGCUAUUAUUAUGAGUUAUAUAAGUAUCGUUUAACGCUUAUAUAAUAGUAAUAAUAGUCAGACUAUUUAUUAGUCACGGUUAUCGUUAGACUAAACCCUAGUGGUAUUGAUACUAGGUUUUAUCGAGGAAUAAUUGUUUUGAGAUAACGAAGCGUUGUUCGAGGGAAGAAUCACCACCUUUUCAGGUGAGUGCAUAGUUACUUUCAUCUUACUCAUAGAUAUGAAGUAUUUUAAUAUAAAUUACGUGCUAUGUGUGCAUAUUGUCUGAAUACUUGUUGUCUAUGCUGGUGAAAGAUUUUUAUACAUGUUUUAAAUGAUGUAAGUUGUAUAAAGUAUUUUAUAUGUACAAAAUAUGUUGGGUAAAACAUGGGUAGAUGAAUGAUGAGAGAUAAAAGUUGAAAUAGAGGAACGUUAGUAGUAUGGACCUAGUGCCCUAUAGGUAAACAUUGGCAGCAAUGGACCUAGUACCCUAUAGAUGAGCACUGGCAGCUCCGCCACAACCCGUGGAUGUUUUAGAUCUACGGUAAACGUCCUAGCAGCUACGCUCUAAGGACAGUAUCGAAAGUUGCGCCUAAUAGGGAGCCUUAUGACCAUGACAGUAGCGUUUAAAGGUCAAUAUCGGCAGAAGCGCCUCAUAGAAAAUGUCCCAGUUCUGGCAGUUGCGCCUAAGUGAUAAUAUUAGCAGCUGCGCUUGACCACUGCUUCAUUGGCAACAAUGGACUUCCUGUUUUUUCCUUAGGAUGAUCCUUAGGAAUGAAUGAACAAGGAUUAGCUGGCCCUUAGGGUAAAUCCUUAAGAAGAUAAUGGGAAUGGGUAAUUGGGAUGAUUGUUUGAUGUUAAAAUCUAAUAAUUAUAUUAUUGUGGGUUGAAAACUCUAUGUACUCACCAGGUUUCCCAACCUAACCCACUCAGUUUAUUUAUAUCACAGGUGUUGAUAUGAAGUCACAUUAUACUGAGAAAUUAAGGAGAUAUAAAUCACUAGUGAUAAUGAAUGUAAGUUCUGUAUUGAUAAUGACAUCCCAAAUGUUUUAAAAUGAAUAAAAAUACUUUUCUUCGGAAAUGCUUUUAUAACGUGUUUAUCAUGUUUUAAUGGGAACAAAUUCCACAACAUUUUUAUUAAAAGAGGUACUCUGAUUUUUAUAAAGCAUAAACAAAAUCGGUCUUUUCUGGCUGUGAAAAUGGGGAUGUCAUAGUUGGUAUCAGAGCAUUAGUUUAAGUGAACUAGGAAUAUGGAUUUAUCUCUAGACUUAAACUUAGAAUGCUAAGCGAUGACUGUGAGGUGUGAGCAGCAGCUUAUUUUAGGAAUUAUGCCUAAAAUGCUUUUAUGUGCUAAAUGCUUUUGCCUGAUGUGCUGUUAUUUGUUCGGAUCUAUGGUCUAUUGCCGACCGGAUCUGGAAACCUUAUGUGUUUAGGAUUCUAAGCGUUUAACUACGAUAUUAGAACUAGCAUAUAAACGUUUAGGACUGAUAAGAAUUAUUUAAAUGUCAAUCCUAAAUAAAGAUCUAGAUUCACCUUAUUCGGUGUAUAGAUCAAGAUGGCAAGGACCUGUAGCGGAAACCUGAAUGCAAAUGGGAACCGAUAUCAGCCCCCAGUGAUACAGUAAAUACCAGUCAUAGUAGAAGUUGCACCUGAGCCAAUCACCAUGGUUGGAGUACAAGCCAUGAUGCGGGCUAUGUUAGCUGAACAAAGGGAAGAAACGAGGCAGAUGUUGCAUGAAAAUAGGGACGAACCUACAAUGCCAGUUGACCAGCCUGAAUUGAACGAUGGGCAGUCAGAAGGAGGGAACUACAGUGGGACCGUUAGUCAAGCCAACCCACCAAUAGUUUGAAAAAACAACCAGGAUGACGGAGUCAAGAGGAAUGGAUGCAAGUACAAGGAUUUUCUAACUUGCAAGCCAUCGACUUUCACUGGAAAGGAAGAUCCGAUCGGGGUCAUGGAUUGGAUCUCGAAGAUGGAGUUAGCUUUCAUGAUGUGUGGUUGCAGAGGCAAACUACAAACCACGUUUGCGGUACGCCAGUUCAGAGAAGGCACGGUUCGUUGGUGGAACACUCUGGGGAAGACUCUAAGCCCCAAUGAGCCCCUACAACUGACAUGGGCAGAAUUUUUGGUGCAGUUCAAACGUAAGUACUGCUCGGCCCAAUAUCUGCUCGAGCUAGAAAACCAAUUCCUUACCUUGAAGAAAGGAAGCAUGUCUAUUGAUGAAUACACCAACAACUUCACAGAGAAGAUGGAGUUCGCCUUGCGUCUUGUUCCGGAUGAGCUGACAAAAAUCGACAAGUACGCAAAAGGACUUCCAUUGGAGUACGCGGUACCAGUGCGUCAAGCACCUACUCUGGAAGCAGCUAUUUGGGCUGCCAAAUCUGUGGAGGAUAUGAUUAAGGGAAUAGUUUCCAUCAAGGUUGAGGUUAGCAAAAAGAGGAAAUUCGGAGGAUCAGCAAGGCCCGAUGAGAAGAGAAAUUCCAAUACAAGGAAGUUUAGAGGAGGAGGAAGUGAAGAAAUAUGGUGCGAAAAGUGCAAAAAGAAGCACACUGGAAAAUGCGGUGAGGAGGUGACUUGUUUCAAGUGUGGGAAGCAUGGGAAUUAUGACAACGAGUGUACAUUCAACAAAAGGGUGUGUUACGAAUGUAACGAGGAAGGGCACUUCAAGCAAGACAGACCAAAGAGAGAAGGGGCUAUAAAGCCAAAUCUGCCGCCAAAGCCAAAGGCGAGAGCAUUUCAAAUGAUCCUUGACGAAGCAGAUGACAAUGCAUGGAUUCAGGAGUGAAGGAUUGACAUCUAAAGAUCGAGUUAUGAAGUAGUCGUGUAGAUAGUACCACGUGAUGUAGCCUGUUAGAGGAAUAGUCUAGGGUGAACUUGAACACCUAUGUAAUCAUUUCAAGGAAUAAUAUAAAACCUUCUUUUUGAUAUUUGAUGUGUUAAGUUGUUAUGUGAUUUUCUUCUAUGGUGACUUGGAAAAUUAUGGGACAAUACUUGGGACGAGUAUGAGUGGGUGUGAAUGGUAGUAGUGGCCUAUACUACCGGAAGCACAGGACUCACGCUUGGAUCAGGGAAAGUCGCAAUGUUACCAAGAAACUAGUAAUCAAUUUCGUUUUAUCUAAGUAGGUCGUUACUAUCGUUUUAGUAAUGAUUAAGGAGGUUAUUGAUAUUCCGACCCUAGUGGUCAUAUCGAAUUGAGUCCGACUAAGACAAGUAUGUUACAUAGUUUAGAGAACCAAGUCCGAUGUAGCACCUGACUCAAGCUGGAAGAAUUAAUCAAAGCGAUCAGUAGAGGUAUCGCGAUAGUUUCUUGUAGCUAGGAAUGCUACCUUUUAAAAUGUGAUUAUAUCACAUUAGAACAUGAAGGAAGAUAUAGUCUGUUCUGGAAUUUAACUCUAAGAGACCUGAGUCUAAACGUGCAUCACAUGAUGGUAGGUCAUAAUUUGGAGUCUAAUGUGAGAUAGGGAGCAAUUGCAAGAUCAAGCACCACUUACAGUCAAGAAGUCUUAGAGUUAGAUACUCGUUCAAAGAAACAUGAAAGUUACGGUUAUUACUUAGGAUGAAGAGAUAGCGUAUGGAGUCAUCAUGUGGGCCCUAUUUCGUUGAUGAUUCUGGGACGUAAUCAUCCUAAAGGGAGAUAAUUGUAACGCCUGUAGAUCCGGGCUAGUCAAUUUAGAGAUAAUAGGGGUCAAAAACGAAUUUUCGACAAAAUAUUAUUUAAUAAAUAAUCUUAACUAAGUUGUAGAAUAUGUCUCAAUGGUUCCAUACAUAUAAAGAACGCCGAAAUCCGAGUUAUAACGAAGAAAGUUAUGGCUCGUCGAAGUUUUACGGCAAAACCGACACGACACCAGGAGACGUAAAUAGUGAAUUUAUGAUAGAGUGAUUUUUAGCAUUGGCGAUCUAAAUGAAAGUUGUAGAAUAUGUUAAACCGAGAACUGUUGGGUUUUUGCCAUAAGAACUUUCCUAUGUGCGCAUGCAAAACCCUAAUGCUUGGAUCUAGGCUUUCUAAUAAACAUGCUUUGAAUCCAAGACUUCUAAUUACUAAUUAGGUUAAACAAGAACAUUAAAACAGAUCUAGAAUCAUACCUUUGAGUUCCUUGUUGAUCUUGAGGUCUUGGAGCUUCUAGAGUCACAAAUGUCACUCCUCUAAUGGCUUACAAACACCAAAGCAAGGAGGAUGAUUUGGGAGAGAGGAGAGGGGAGGAAUUUCGACCAGAGGUUCCUUACUUUAGGUCAAGUCUCGAAUUCCAUCAGCCAUGGGGUCUAUUUAUACUUGUAGACUCCUUAAGGAUUACAGAUAAGUCCCUAUCAGAUAAUCUUCUCUUAAGGCUAUCCAAAUCCAUUCCUAGAUAAGUAUAUGGACGAUUUAAGCUUUCCUAAAGCUCUUAGAAUCCGUCCAAACCAUAUCCAAAUGGAUUUACAGUUUAAUUCUUAACUAUCAAACAAUUGACAGUUUAUACCCCUUUAAUUAAUUAAUCUCUUUAAGUCACCAAAUUAAUUCUAAUUAAUUCUAUGACUUAUAUUAAUCAAUAUAUAUUAUCCAUUAUAUUAUUCACAUAAUAUAUUAAUAAUAUUUACUCUCUCUUAAUAAAUCAUCCUAUCAAGUUGCUAUGGUGAAGGCAACCCAAAAGGACCAUGCACAACCGGAUAUAGUUACAGCCUUAGACACUAUUCCAACAAGAACAUCCAUAAAAAGAACGCCCAAAUCUGACUUCAUAUGAGGAAGUUAUGAUUUUUCGAAGUUUCGGCUUAACAGUAUACAACCCGAAAUUCGAAUAUUAGACCGAGCGGUUUUUAGCCAACACAACCUAAACGAGAAUCAAAGAUCUCAUUAAUAGUAGCAUAACAAUAAAAAGAUAUACGAAAACAGACGUCGAAUGAAGAAGUUAUGAAAUUUUUUACGGACCAAUCGUGUCCCGGUCUGUUAAUAAUAUAACUUUUAAAAUAAAGUCAAAAUUAGUCGAUGGAGUCUAAACGAAAGUUGUAGAUUAUGUUCCCACCUUCGCGUGGAUAUAAAGAAUGUCGAAAACGGAGCUCGUAUGCGAAAGAUAUGAUUUUUAGAAGUCGGAGUGUAAAAUUGCGAAAUCUGCGAGAAGUUGAUGACGUGGCUGCUUUUGAGCCGUUGCUUGCUGACCAAGGCUUCGCUUCGGGUCAUGCCACGUAGCCUCACACUACGCCCCGCGUACGAGAUCCGGUACGCACCGCAUACCUUCGGCCUUAUCCUUCCGACGAGUGUGAGAUAGCUGGAUCCGAGGUGGAAACCCUAUCCGAAGUUACCCCCCGCUUAGCCAAGGAUUACGCCCAGCGUAGUCCGAGGCCUCGUAGGCUAUA
rnacentral:lncRNA from 1 species